rnacentral:rRNA from 1 species
AUUGAACGCUGGCGGCAUGCCUUACACAUGCAAGUCGAACGGCAGCGCGGGGGCAACCCUGGCGGCGAGUGGCGAACGGGUGAGUAAUAUAUCGGAACGUGCCCUGGAGUGGGGGAUAACCAGUCGAAAGACUGGCUAAUACCGCAUACGAUCUAAGGAUGAAAGUGGGGGAUCGCAAGACCUCAUGCUCCUGGAGCGGCCGAUAUCUGAUUAGCUAGUUGGUAGGGUAAAAGCCUACCAAGGCUUCGAUCAGUAGCUGGUCUGAGAGGACGACCAGCCACACUGGGACUGAGACACGGCCCAGACUCCUACGGGAGGCAGCAGUGGGGAAUUUUGGACAAUGGGGGCAACCCUGAUCCAGCAAUGCCGCGUGAGUGAAGAAGGCCUUCGGGUUGUAAAGCUCUUUUGUUCGGAAAGAAAUCGCUCUGGCUAAUAUCCGGAGUGGAUGACGGUACCGGAAGAAUAAGCACCGGCUAACUACGUGCCAGCAGCCGCGGUAAUACGUAGGGUGCAAGCGUUAAUCGGAAUUACUGGGCGUAAAGCGUGCGCAGGCGGUUGUGCAAGACAGAUGUGAAAUCCCCGGGCUUAACCUGGGAACUGCAUUUGUGACUGCACGGCUAGAGUGUGUCAGAGGGGGGUAGA